rnacentral:rRNA from 1 species
CGGGUGAGUAACACGUGGAUAACCUACCUAUAAGACUGGGAUAACUUCGGGAAACCGGAGCUAAUACCGGAUAAUAUAUUGAACCGCAUGGUUCAAUAGUGAAAGACGGUUUUGCUGUCACUUAUAGAUGGAUCCGCGCCGCAUUAGCUAGUUGGUAAGGUAACGGCUUACCAAUGCAACGAUGCGUAGCCGACCUGAGAGGGUGAUCGGCCACACUGGAACUGAGACACGGUCCAG